UACGGAAGGCAGCAGUGGGGAAUAUUGCACAAUGGGCGCAAGCCUGAUGCAGCCAUGCCGCGUGUAUGAAAAAGGCCUUCGGGUUGUAAAGUACUUUCAGUCGUGAGGAAGGUGUUAAGGUUAAUAACCUUAGCAAUUGACGUUAGCGACAGAAGAAGCACCGGCUAACUCCGUGCCAGCAGCCGCGGUAAUACGGAGGGUGCAAGCGUUGUCCGGAUUUAUUGGGUUUAAAGGGUGCGUAGGUGGGAUCAUAAGUCUGGUUUUGAAAGCUGGUGGCUCAACCAUCAGAUGUGGCUGGAAACUGUGGUUCUUGAAUGGCGUAGCGGUAGCCGGAAUGGGUCAUGUAGCGGUGAAAUGCAUAGAUAUGACCCGGAACACCGAUUGCGAAAGGCAGGCUACUGGGGCGUCGAUUGACACUGAGGCACGAGAGCAUGGGUAGCAAACAAGGAAUUAGAAUAACC
rnacentral:rRNA from 1 species